GAUACUGAAUGCGGAGAGUCUCCGCCGAUCCGUAACUGCGUUUUAUUUAGUGUAGGUAGAAUACAGCCUCGCAGGCCUCAUGGUCGUGUGCAAAAACAACAGCCCUAGAAAGAGCAGUGCCAAGGGUGAGGGCUGGAAACGGAAAUUGCCCUCAGAGGCCAUUUAAGUGCUGUUGGCGUGCACCGCUAAAGCGAGUGCACGAUGGUUUAUGGCUUGGGAGUCGCUGAGGUGGUUUUGAGGUGAUUUCUUGAUGUCUCUAUGGAGCCCUUGAGCCUUACCCCCUUACUGGAGGCUGCAGGAUCUUCCAUUCAUUCCAACACCUGCCUGCAUACAGACACCCCUGCAGCUAUGGAAGCUAUCUGUGUAGACUGCUUAUCAUCACCUGCCAUGAACACCACGAAGACCAUGCUGCUCCUCUUGACCAACGUGAUGGUGACCUGAAUGGUGCCCUGGAACUACAGCAUCACUUUCUCCUCUCCUGUCUGUUAUAAGGACACUUGUCAUUGGAAUUAGGGCCCAUCUGGUAAUCCAGGAUGGUCUCAUCUCAAGAUCCUUAACUACAUCUGCAAUUUGUAGGGUCAGGUGGUAGGGUGUGGACCUAUUUUGGGGUGCCACCAUUCAACCCACUACAGUCCAUACUCUGGUACCCCAAAAUUCACCUGUCCCAUGUGCAAAACACAUUCAUCCCCACCUCAACAUCUAUUAAAGUCUUAAACCAUUACAGCCUCAACUAAGUCCAAAGUCUUGUCUAAAUUUCAUCAGCUCAAAAAGUUCCAAAUCUAUUCAUCUAAAUCAGGAAAGGCAGAUCCAUAUUCAGAAUAAGUGUCUAUUCUAUAAGAACAUAUUGGUGCCCCUUCCAUGAUGGAAGUGGUCCAGUAUUAUCAACGUUCCAUCAGGUAGCAGGCUGAUCACA